CGUCAAGCCGGAAGUGGACGGAGAAAAAGCUAUUUUACUAAGCAUAAGCGCCACGUUGUUUUAAUCUACGUUGAUGUCAGAAUGUUCCAUAACAGCUGGCUGGCUCCGCUGACUGUUGGAUCUUCAUAUUGAUGCAGAGCAGUUCAGAGGUUUGGUGAGAGAGCUGAUGUUCCUCCAACUGAAAGACGAAGACCAAAGAAAGCUCUUCUUUAGCAUCCACAUCACCACAUAACACUAAUAGCAACUCUAUGCAUAUGACUUUGGAGCCCUCUAGAUGUGGAAUUCACUGUCGUAAAUAAUGAGCAGACGUACCUUCAUGUGUGAGUGUGGGAAAUAAAAUAUAAGUUAUCAGCGGGCAGAGUAUCAUCAAUAUCGUUUUGAAACUGAUAUUUCAUGGCAACAAAAAAAAAACGUCUUAAGAACAUUAGUAGUAAUCUAUUUAAAAAAAAUAUUGAACUGCUGCCCCCUGCUGGUGAGUCAUUCAAACACGCUCAAACAUCCAACUACAAACUUCAGAUCAGUGUCUACAUAAAAAAAGGCAACUUGAAUUUGUGGUAUAGAUUUAAACAACAGUACUUUAAUCCCCUUCAAAAGUCUCAAUGUAAUACAUACUGUGCAAAGUUUUAAUCUGCAGGUAGUAUAACUGUAAUCAGAUGAAUCUGCAUACAACUGGUUAAAAGGAGUAUGGUACAAAACUCCUUUACAUACACGCUACAUACAGCAUUUUGGAGAUGACCCCUUCUACUCAUUAAAACAAAUAAUACAUUUAACAUUUCUAUGUAAUCUAGUGCAAAAUAAUCUGUUUUUGUUACUUUUUGGCUCCUAAAACUGAAUUGUUUUCCAAGUCUUCAAAAAUUAUUUACUCACCAUCAAUAUAAUUUUUGGUUCAAUAAUUUUAUUCAUAAUUAAACUAAUUUAAAUAUGAAUAAUUUUUUGUCUGAUUCUCAUACAAAGCAAUUAUAUGAGUUAUACUUUUUUUUACUAUAAAAAAAAAGGGAUUUAAAUGACAUGACGGUGAAUAAAUGGCAGGAUUUGGGGAGAACUAUUCCUUUAACAUCUGCAAAUUACAACAGAACAUCUGCUCAACACACAAACACACAGAGCGCUCAUUCCUCAAAUAAACAAAACAUGAAUUUUAAAACAUAAACUUUUGUUUUGUCUGGCAUAUCUUGAAGUAAAAUAACCCAAAAAUAACAUUUCACUUGAUGACAUAACAUAUUUAGUUUUCAAAAAUAUGGUGAAAUCAGCUCAUGGCUUUAACUUCAUACAAUUUUGUGAUAAUAUAUAAGUAACUAAAAACAUAACAUAUGCAAAGGACUGAGCACCAGUUAGUCAUUCAUUCAAUUGCUCAAUCUUCUAGUGGCAAAGAGAGGAACUGCAUAUUAAUAAUACAUUAAUGGUAACAUUCGGAACAAAAUACUAGUCACACUACUAAAGUAUUUACUAUAUAAAAG